GUGCUUGCACCGGGGAUUAGUGGCGAACGGGUGAGUAACACGUGAGUAACCUGCCCUUAACUCUGGGAUAAGCCUGGGAAACUGGGUCUAAUACCGGAUAUGACUCCUCAUCGCAUGGUGGGGGGUGGAAAGCUUUUUGUGGUUUUGGAUGGACUCGCGGCCUAUCAGCUUGUUGGUGAGGUAAUGGCUUACCAAGGCGACGACGGGUAGCCGGCCUGAGAGGGUGACCGGCCACACUGGGACUGAGACACGGCCCAGACUCCUACGGGAGGCAGCAGUGGGGAAUAUUGCACAAUGGGCGCAAGCCUGAUGCAGCGACGCCGCGUGAGGGAUGACGGCCUUCGGGUUGUAAACCUCUUUCAGUAGGGAAGAAGCGAAAGUGACGGUACCUGCAGAAGAAGCGCCGGCUAACUACGUGCCAGCAGCCGCGGUAAUACGUAGGGCGCAAGCGUUAUCCGGAAUUAUUGGGCGUAAAGAGCUCGUAGGCGGUUUGUCGCGUCUGCCGUGAAAGUCCGGGGCUCAACUCCGGAUCUGCGGUGGGUACGGGCAGACUAGAGUGAUGUAGGGGAGACUGGAAUUCCUGGUGUAGCGGUGAAAUGCGCAGAUAUCAGGAGGAACACCGAUGGCGAAGGCAGGUCUCUGGGCAUUAACUGACGCUGAGGAGCGAAAGCAUGGGGAGCGAACAGGAUUAGAUACCCUGGUAGUCCAUGCCGUAAACGUUGGGCACUAGGUGUGGGGGGACAUUCCACGUUUUCCGCGCCGUA
rnacentral:rRNA from 1 species